GAAUUUUGGACAAUGGGCGAAAGCCUGAUCCAGCAAUGCCGCGUGCAGGAUGAAGGCCUUCGGGUUGUAAACUGCUUUUGUACGGAACGAAAAGCUCUGGGUUAAUACCCUGGAGUCAUGACGGUACCGUAAGAAUAAGCACCGGCUCACUACGUCCCAGCAGGCGCGGUAAUACCUAGAGUGCAAGCGUUAAUCGUACUUACUGGGCGUAAAGCGUGCGCAGGCGGUUUUAUAAGACAGAGGAGAAAUACCCGGGCUCAACCUGGGAACUGCCUUUAUGACUGCAAGGCUAGAGUACGGCAGAGGGGGGUGGAAUUCCGCGUGUAGCAGUGAAAUGCGUAGAUAUGCGGAGGAACACCGAUGGCGAAGGCAACCCCCUGGGCCUGUACUGACGCUCAUGCACGAAAGCGUGGGGAGCAAACA
rnacentral:rRNA from 1 species